GACGAACGCUGGCGGCGUGCUUAACACAUGCAAGUCGAACGGAAAGGCCCUGCUUGCAGGGUGCUCGAGUGGCGAACGGGUGAGUAACACGUGGGUGAUCUGCCCCUUAUUUUGGGAUAAGCCUGGGAAACUGGGUCUAAUACUGGAUAGGACCAUGCUGUAGGUGGUGUGGUGGAAAGAUUAGUUUCGGUAAGGGAUGAGCUCGCGGCCUAUCAGCUUGUUGGUGGGGUAAUGGCCUACCAAGGCGUCGACGGGUAGCCGGCCUGAGAGGGUGGACGGCCACAUUGGGACUGGGAUACGGCACAGACUCCUACGGGAGGCAGCAGUGGGGAAUAUUGCACAAUGGGCGCAAGCCUGAUGCAGCGACGCCGCGUGGGGGAUGACGGCCUUCGGGUUGUAAACUCCUUUCAGCCAUGACGAAGCCCUUGUGGUGACGGUAGUGGUAGAAGAAGCACCGGCUAACUACGUG
rnacentral:rRNA from 1 species